rnacentral:rRNA from 1 species
GCUCAGGAUGAACGCUAGCUACAGGCUUAACACAUGCAAGUCGAGGGGUAGCAGGGUAGCAAUACCGCUGACGACCGGCGCACGGGUGAGUAACACGUAUCCAACCUUCCCAUAACUCAGGGAUAGCCUUUCGAAAGAAAGAUUAAUACCUGAUAGUACUUAAGAAAGGCAUCUUUUUUAAGUUAAAGAUUUAUUGGUUAUGGAUGGGGAUGCGUUCCAUUAGAUAGUUGGUGAGGUAACGGCUCACCAAGUCUUCGAUGGAUAGGGGUUCUGAGAGGAAGGUCCCCCACAUUGGUACUGAGAUACGGACCAAACUCCUACGGGAGGCAGCAGUGAGGAAUAUUGGUCAAUGGGCGAGAGCCUGAACCAGCCAAGUAGCG